GAUGAACGCUGGCGGCGUGCCUAAUACAUGCAAGUCGAGCGAACAGACGAGGAGCUUGCUCCUCUGACGUUAGCGGCCGACGGGUGAGUAACACGUGGAUAACCUACCUAUAAGACUGGGAUAACUUCGGGAAACCGGAGCUAAUACCGGAUAAUAUAUUGAACCGCAUGGUUCAAUAGUGAAAGACGGUUUUGCUGUCACUUAUAGAUGGAUCCGCGCCGCAUUAGCUAGUUGGUAAGGUAACGGCUUACCAAGGCAACGAUGCGUAGCCGACCUGAGAGGGUGAUCGGCCACACUGGAACUGAGACACGGUCCAGACUCCUACGGGAGGCAGCAGUAGGGAAUCUUCCGCAAAGGGCGAAAGCCUGACGGAGCAACGCCGCGUGAGUGAUGAAGGUCUUCGGAUCGUAAAACUCUGUUAUUAGGGAAGAACAAAUGUGUAAGUAACUAUGCACGUCUUGACGGUACCUAAUCAGAAAGCCACGGCUAACUACGUG
rnacentral:rRNA from 1 species